UACGAAGGGGGCUAGCGUUGUUCGGAAUUACUGGGCGUAAAGCGCAUGUAGGCGGUUCUUUAAGUCAGGGGUGAAAUCCCGGGGCUCAACCCCGGAAUUGCCUUUGAUACUGGAGAGCUAGAGUUUGGGAGAGGUGAGUGGAAUUCCGAGUGUAGAGGUGAAAUUCGUAGAUAUUCGGAGGAACACCAGUGGCGAAGGCGGCUCACUGGCCCGAAACUGACGCUGAGAUGCGAAAGCGUGGGGAGCAAACAGG
rnacentral:rRNA from 1 species